rnacentral:rRNA from 1 species
UUCCAGACUCCUACGGGAGGCAGCAGUGGGGAAUAUUGCACAAUGGGGGAAACCCUGAUGCAGCGACGCCGCGUGAGUGAAGAAGUAAUUCGUUAUGUAAAGCUCUAUCAGCAGGGAAGAAAAUGACGGUACCUGAGUAAGAAGCCCCGGCUAACUACGUGCCAGCAGCCGCGGUAAUACGUAGGGAGCGAGCGUUGUCCGGAAUUACUGGGUGUAAAGGGAGCGUAGGCGGGACUGCAAGUUGGGUGUCAAAUCUACCGGCUCAACCGGUAGCCGCACUCAAAACUGCAGUUCUUGAGUGAAGUAGAGGCAGGCGGAAUUCCUAGUGUAGCGGUGAAAUGCGUAGAUAUUAGGAGGAACACCGGCGGCGAAGGCGGCCUGCUGGACCGAAACUGACGUUGAGGCUCGAAAGCGUGGGGAGCAAACAGGAUUAGAUACCCCUGUA